GUAGCAGGCGUUUAGUGCGGGCAGGAGAAGAGGGGCACCCUCUCUUCUCCCGCCCGCACUAAACGCCUGCUAC